rnacentral:lncRNA from 13 species
GGCCUUCUCAGGAGCCAGGAGGGACCAAGCCAGGCAGGGGGCAGAGGACUGCUUGGACAGGUCCAGGCCAGGUGGAGGUAUGGGCAGCCAACCCUGAGGUCACUGGGUGUGGCAGCAGGUGGGGGUUGUCCAGGAGGCCCUUACAGAGCAACACGUCAUUCUAAGGCUGCAUUUCACACUGGCUCAGAGGAAGUCUCGCUCUGUCGCCCAGGCUGGAGUGCAGUGGCUCCAUCUCAGCUCAUCGCAACCUCCGCCUCCCAGGUUCAGAAUGACCCUAACAACACAGAAGCAUCCAGGCCCAGAUGUCCACACAUCACCGCAGGACCCAGGCUGUGACCCCAGGAGAUGCUGGGUCAGGGUGGAGACCGGCUCCCUUGUGUCCUAGUCCUGAGCACCAGCACUGUGGUUCCAGCUCCCUGCAGGCACUUCCUGCCUGCUUUGGGACAGAUGGCCACCAUGCCGUCACAGCCCUGGGGUUGAGCCCAGAUCCUCCACCUCGACUGUCCUGCCCCACUGGACCCCAUCAGGAUCCAAGAAGACCCUGAUGGGUUGCUCUAUCUCCUUGGCCCUUGCUGAGUCCAUGGACAUGGAGCAUGGUUCCCUCUGCCCCUCUCAGCUCUGUGCAGCCCACAGCCCUGCCUGCCCCACCUGAGGGUCGGGGCUCCCUGGACUGGUCAGGGGUGUGUGUGUUUAGGGGGUGGGCUGAGGCUGCUAUCCCUGCCCCCCUACCCCAGCUGAGGCCUGUACCUGGCAGGGGUCGAGCCAGCAAAAUCAUGGUCCUACCCUGACCCAUAGUGUCCAGGCCGUAUGGGCAGUGCCAGGGAGGGCCCAGCCAGCCUCGCGCCACACCCCUUACCCUCUUGCUCUCUCCUUUUCACUCCCUCUGUCUCCUGACCUUGGGUCACCUCUUCUCUUUCUUGUUCUCAUUCAAUCCCUUCUCUCUGUUUUUCUGGUUCUUUUUUUCUUUUUUGAGACAGAAUCUCACUCUGAUGCCCAGGCUGGGGUGCAGUGGUGCGAUCUCAGCUCACUGCAACCUCCACCUCCUGGGCUCAAGCAGUUCUCCUGCCUCAGCCUCCUGAGUAGCUGGGAUUACAGGCACGUAAUCCACCACACCUGACCUGUUUUUCUGUUUCUCUCACUUUAGUAAGUCCCUCCAGCUCCUCUUUGAAUAUGCACACAUUUGUCAGUCUGUCUCCACCACUGUCCUUCCUUCCUCUCCUCCUCAUCACUCUGCCCUGACCUCAGGGGUCUGUGUGUCUCUGUCUCUCUCUCCUUGUCUCCCUCUCCCCGUUAUCCUCACUGUCUCUCUGUCUCUCAUUUUUAUUAUUUCUCAUUCUCUUUCCCUCCCUACCUCUAUUUAUUUAUUUAUUUUUGAGACAGAGUCUUGCUCUGUCGCCCAAGCUAGAGUGUAGUGGUGUAAUCUCAGCUCACUGCAACCUCCGCCUCCCAGGUUCAAGCAAUUCUCCUGCCUCAGCCUCCUGAGUAGCUGGGACUACAGGCACGUGCCACCAUGCCUGGCUAAUUUUUGUAUUUUUAGUAGAGAUGGGCUUUCACCAUGUUGGCCAGGCUGGUCUCAAACUCCUGACCUCAUGAUCCACCCACUGCGGUCUCCCAAAGCGCUGGGAUUACAGGUGUGAGCCAUCUUGCCCAGCCUAUUUUAUUUGAUUUGUGUGGGUCCAUAACAGGUGCAUAUAUUUACAGGGUACAUGACAUAUUUUGAUAUAGGCAUGCAAUGUGUCAUAACCACAUCAGGGCGAAUGAGGUCCCGUCCCUCAAGCAUGUAUCCUUUCUGUAGGUUACAAACAUUCUGAUCAUACUCUUUUAAUUAUUUUUGAAUGUACAAUAAAUUCUUGGUGACUGUCA